rnacentral:rRNA from 1 species
GUAGGUGGCGAGCGUUGUCCGGAUUUACUGGGCGUAAAGAGCGCGCAGGCGGUCGUGCAAGUCGCGUGUGAAAGCCCCCGGCUCAACUGGGGAGGGUCACGCGAUACUGCUCGACUCGAAGGCAGGAGAGGGAAGUGGAAUUCCCGGUGUAGUGGUGAAAUGCGUAGAUAUCGGGAGGAACACCAGUGGCGAAGGCGACUUCCUGGCCUGUUCUUGACGCUGAGGCGCGAAAGCUAGGGUAGCAAACGGGAUUAGAUACCCCGGUAGUCCUAGCCGUAAACGAUGGACACUAGGUGUUGGUGGUAUCAACCCCGCCAGUGCCGAAGCUAACGCAUUAAGUGUCCCGCCUGGGGAGUACGGCCGCCCUUGCUA